UGGGGGUCAGGUGUGGUAUCAGGAAUAAUGUGGGAGGCCGGAUUGAAGUCCGGGCCAGGAACAAUAGUAAUUGUGGGACUUAACAAAGACUGAGUACAGCUGAAGGAGCCGGGGAGCAGAAAGUAUAUGCGUCAGGUGUGAGGAAGAAAAUAGAUUUUGGAAGUUAUGAGAAAUGUAGAGAGUGAGUUGAGCAUAGUUUGUGAUUUUUAGGGCCUCUAAAAGUAUUAGGGCGGCAGCAGCCGCUGCAUGGAGACAUGAGGGCUAGGCUAAAACAGUAAGGUCAAGUUGUUUGCAUAGGAAGGCUACAGGGUGCGGUCCUGGCUCUUGUGUAAGAAUUCUGACCGCACUAACCAUGCCUAGGAAGGAAAGGCGUUGUUGUUUUGUAAGGGAUUGAGGUUUGGGAGAUUAAUCGGACACGAUCAGCAGGGAAAGCACGUGUGUUUUUAUGAGAAUUAUGCUGAGAUAGGUAACAGAUGAGGAUGAAAUUUGGGCUUGACUGAAGUAAUGGGGGCUGUCUGUGAAGCCUUGCGGCAGUACAGCCCAGGCAGCACUGAGAAGUGAAGGAAUAUUUGGGAGGAUCAGAAGCUUGGUCCUGAUUUUGCCAUCAACAGGAACUUGAUGACUUCAAGGGAGUCCCCAAACCCUGGGUUUCUGUUUUCUCAACUCUAACAUGAGGGGCUAGAUGCAUCUGGUUUAGUUAGUCUCCAUGAUGGUUUAGUUCGUCUCCAUGAUCCUGUGAAUUUCAGAUGUUGAAAAUCUUCGGAAAAGCCCUGAAAGAUGAACAGUGGUCUCAAAUAGUCAAGACCCCCUGCUGGGAGGAGCUUCUAUCCUGCUCUGUGGAAGAAAUGGGCAUGCCAGAUGCCUGGAAGAUCAGAGGCUCACAUUCCAGCUGUAGGUGGCCCACCAGGUGUCAACAACUGUAGAGUUCCAUCAAGAGUCAUCAUUUUACAGUUACAAGUCGGAGGGGCCUUCACAGAUCCGUCAGGCUCAACACUGCCUCCUUAGUGAGCCUGUGAACCACCCAAGACGGCUGGUCAUCAGUGUCAUCCUCUUCCUUUUCCGGACAACUAUCUUUAAAAGAAAAAAAAAGAGUGUCUUUGAAUGUAUCCAUUUUAUCCCCAAAUAAUCUUGUUUAAUAAAUUCCUUAUUAGGCCAAA
rnacentral:lncRNA from 1 species